rnacentral:rRNA from 1 species
AACGAACGCUGGCGGCAUGCCUAACACAUGCAAGUCGAACGAGACCUUCGGGUCUAGUGGCGCACGGGUGCGUAACGCGUGGGAAUCUGCCCUUGGGUUCGGAAUAACAGUUAGAAAUGACUGCUAAUACCGGAUGAUGACUUCGGUCCAAAGAUUUAUCGCCCAGGGAUGAGCCCGCGUCGGAUUAGCUAGUUGGUGAGGUAAAGGCUCACCAAGGCGACGAUCCGUAGCUGGUCUGAGAGGAUGAUCAGCCACACUGGGACUGAGACACGGCCCAGACUCCUACGGGAGGCAGCGGUGGGGAAUAUUGGACAAUGGGCGAAAGCCUGAUCCAGCAAUGCCGCGUGAGUGAUGAAGGCCUUAGGGUUGUAAAGCUCUUUUACCCGGGAUGAUAAUGACAGUACCGGGAGAAUAAGCCCCGGCUAACUCCGUGCCAGCCGCCGCCGUAAAAC